rnacentral:rRNA from 1 species
CCUGCGGAGGAUCAUUAUUGAAUGAACUUGGCGUGGUUGUUGCUGGCCCUCUCUUGGGGGCAUGUGCACACCCGCCAUCUCCAUCUCUCCACCUGUGCACCUCUUGUAGACUUGGAAUAAACUUUCCGAGGAAACUCGGUCGGGAGGGAAUGCUGUCGUUUGGCGUCAGCUUUCUUUGGACUUCCAAAGCCUACGUUUUUCAUAUACCCGUAGUAUGUAGCAGAAUGUAUCAUUUGGGCCUCAGUGCCUAUAAACCAUAUACAACUUUCAGCAACGGAUCUCUUGGCUCUCGCAUCGAUGAAGAACGCAGCGAAAUGCGAUAAGUAAUGUGAAUUGCAGAAUUCAGUGAAUCAUCGAAUCUUUGAACGCACCUUGCGCUCCUUGGUAUUCCGAGGAGCAUGCCUGUUUGAGUGUCAUUUAAUUCUCAACCUUAUUAGCUUUUGCUGAUAAUGGCUUGGAUGUGGGGGGUUAUAUUUUGCUGGCUUCUUCCACAGAGGUCAGCUCCCCUGAAAUGCAUUAGCUGGUGCCCCGCGUGGACUGUCUAUUUGGUGUGAUAAUUAUCUACGCCGUGGAUGUCUGCAAUUGGUUUUGGCGCUGCUUCUAACUGUCUGUUCAUUUGGACAAUACAUGACAAUUGACCUCAAAUCAGGAG